rnacentral:snoRNA from 1 species
CCGUUAUGUACGGAGGCAGAGGGAAAGGGCUCCGGCUCCCUCGGCGUCAUGUCUUCGGUGGUGCCGGCGGCUUCUUGUCCACCGGUUCUAUCCUCAAGCACCGAGACACCC